rnacentral:rRNA from 1 species
GAUGAACGCUGGCGGCGUGCCUAAUACAUGCAAGUCGAGCGAACGUACGAGAAGCUUGCUUCUCUGAUGUUAGCGGCGGACGGGUGAGUAACACGUGGAUAACCUACCUAUAAGACUGGGAUAGCUUCGGGAAACCGGAGCUAAUACCGGAUAAUAUUUUGAACCGCAUUGUUCAAAAGUGAAAGACGGUCUUUCUGUCACUUAUGGAUGGAUCCGCGCUGCAUUAGCUAGUUGGUAAGGUAACGGCUUACCAAGGCAACGAUGGGUAGCCGGCCUGAGAGGUGGAACGGCAACAGUGGGACUGAGACACGGCAGAGACUCAUACGGGAGGAAGCAGUGGGGGAUAUUGAAAAAUGGGGGAAAAACUGAUGCAGCGACGCAGGGUGGAGGAAGAAGGUUUUCGGAUUGUAAACUCCUGUCGUUAGGGACGAUAAUGACGGUACCUAACAAGAAAGAAACGGCUAACUACGUG